AACAGGAUUAGAUACCCUGGUAGUCCACGCCGUAAACGAUGAGUGCUAGGUGUUAGGGGUUUCGAUGCCCGUAGUGCCGAAGUUAACACAUUAAGCACUCCGCCUGGGGAGUACGGCCGCAAGGCUGAGACUCAAAGGAAUUGACGGGGACCCGCACAAGCAGUGGAGCAUGUGGUUUAAUUCGAAGCAACGCGAAGAACCUUACCAGGUCUUGACAUCCUUUGACCACCCAAGAGAUUGGGCUUCCCCUUCGGGGGCAAAGUGACAGGUGGUGCAUGGUUGUCGUCAGCUCGUGUCGUGAGAUGUUGGGUUAAGUCCCGCAACGAGCGCAACCCUUGAUCUUAGUUGCCAGCAUUCAGUUGGGCACUCUAAGGUGACUGCCGGUGACAAACCGGAGGAAGGUGGGGAUGACGUCAAAUCAUCAUGCCCCUUAUGACCUGGGCUACACACGUGCUACAAUGGAUGGUACAAAGGGCAGCGAAACCGCGAGGUGAAGCCAAUCCCAUAAAGCCAUUCUCAGUUCGGAUUGCAGGCUGCAACUCGCCUGCAUGAAGCCGGAAUUGCUAGUAAUCGCGGAUCAGCAUGCCGCGGUGAAUACGUUCCCGGGUCUUGUACACACCGCCCGUCACACCACGAGAGUUUGUAACACCCGAAGUCGGUGAGGCAACCUUUUGGAGCCAGCCGCCUAAGGUGGGACAAAUGAUUGGGGUGAAGUCGUAACAAGGUAACC
rnacentral:rRNA from 1 species